rnacentral:rRNA from 1 species
UAGUCAUAUGCUUGUCUCAAAGAUUAAGCCAUGCAUGUCUAAGUAUAAACUGCUUAUACUGUGAAACUGCGAAUGGCUCAUUAAAUCAGUUAUAGUUUAUUUGAUGGUACCUACUACUCGGAUAACCGUAAACGAGAGUUAUUGCGGUAGGGAGACGAGAGUCGUCCCUAGUAGCUCGUCAGAGCUGCGACACUGUCAAAUUGCCUGGACAUCCCGCUACGCUGAGGAGACCGUCUGAUUGGGGAAACCUGAUCGGACACCGACGGUGAAAGCCGUCGGGUAUGGUAACACUUCCUCGGCUAGGGACUAUGGGCAGCCAAGCUCUAAAAGCCUCCUUGGCUCAAGAGUGCAGUUCACAGACUAAAUGGCAGUGGGUGUCCGCCUCCCCAGGCGGAUGCUUAAGAUAUAGUCGGUCCCCAUCGAGAGGUGGACCGUCGGAGGAAUGGGGCGUUCAGCCCCAGGAGAGCCGAUGGUGUCUGACGACUGGAGUCGCCAGGCGGAGCAAACGAGUAAUUCUAGAGCUAAUACGUGCGUAAAUCCCGACUCCUGGAAGGGACGUAUUUAUUAGAUAAAAACCAAUGCAGGUUCGCCUGGUUGAUGGUGAUUCAUAAUAACUGAUCGAAUCGCAUGACCUUGUGUCGGCGAUAGUUCAUUCAAAUUUCUGCCCUAUCAGCUUUCGACGGUAGUGUAGUGGACUACC